GAAAUGCGAUAAGUAAUGUGAAUUGCAGAAUUCAGUGAAUCAUCGAAUCUUUGAACGCACAUUGCGCCCGCCAGUAUUCUGGCGGGCAUGCCUGUUCGAGCGUCAUUUCAACCAUCAAGCCCCGCGCUUGUGUUGGGGACCUGCGGCCGCCGCAGGCCCUGAAAACCAGUGGCGGGCUCGCUGUCACACCGGGCGUAGUAGAUUUUAUCUCGCUCAGGGCGUGCUGCGGGUUCCGGCCGUUAAAAAGCCUUUUUUACCCAAGGUUGACCUCGGAUCAGGUAGGAAGACCCGCUGAACUUAAGC
rnacentral:misc_RNA from 1 species